rnacentral:rRNA from 1 species
AACGAACGCUGGCGGCAUGCCUAACACAUGCAAGUCGAACGAGACCUUCGGGUCUAGUGGCGCACGGGUGCGUAACGCGUGGGAACCUACCCUUAGGUUCGGCAUAACUCCCCGAAAGGGGUGCUAAUACCGGAUAAUGUCUUCGGACCAAAGAUUUAUCGCCUUUGGAUGGGCCCGCGUUGGAUUAGCUUGUUGGUAGGGUAAAAGCCUACCAAGGCGACGAUCCAUAGCUGGUCUGAGAGGAUGAUCAGCCACACUGGGACUGAGACACGGCCGAGAAUCCUACGGGAGGCAGCAGUGGGGAAUAUUGGAAAAUGGGCGAAAGCAUGAUCCAGCAAGGACGCGUGAGUGAUGAAGGCCUUAGGGUUGUAAAGCUCUUUUAACCGGGAUGAUAAUGACAGUACCGGGAGAAUAAGCUCCGGCUAACUCCGUG